rnacentral:rRNA from 1 species
UACGUAGGUGGCAAGCGUUGUCCGGAUUUACUGGGCGUAAAGAGCGCGCAGGCGGUCGUUCAAGUCGCGUGUGAAAGCCCCCGGCUCAACUGGGGAGGGUCACGCGAUACUGAUCGACUCGAAGGCAGGAGAGGGUAGUGGAAUUCCCGGUGUAGUGGUGAAAUGCGUAGAGAUUUGGAGGAACACCAGUGGCGAAGGCGACUGUCUGGUCUGUAACUGACACUGAGGCGCGAAAGCGUGGGGAGCAAACAGG